UUUAUUUAGAAUUUGACUAGGAUUUAUUUAUGAUUGAUUAAGGUUUAUUUAGGAUUUGAUUAGAAUUUGGUUAGGAUUUUGUUGGAAUUUGAUUAAGAUUUGAUUAGAAUUUGAUUAGUAUUUGAUUAGAUUUUGAUUAAGAUUUGAUUAGGAUUUGAUUAAGAUUUGACUAAGAUUUGAUUAGAAUUUAUUUAGAGUUUGACUAUGAUUUAUUUAAAAUUGAUCAAGGUUUAGUUAUGAUUUGGUUAAGAUUUGAUUAGGUUUUGGUUAGAAUUUGAUUAGAAUUUGGUUAAGAUUUGACUAAGAUUUGAUUAGGAUUUAUUUAAGAUUUAACUUGGAUUUACUUAGAUUGAUUAAGAUUUGAGUAGGGUUUGACUAGGAUUUGGUUAAGAUUUGGUUAGGAUUUGAUUAGGAUUUGGUUAUGAUUUAGUUAGGAUUUGAUUAGAUUUUGGUUAAGAUUUGAUUAGGAUUUGGUUAGAUUUUGAUUAGAAUUUGGUUAAAAUUUGAUUAGAAUUUUGUUAAAGUUUGAUUAGAGUUUGGUUAGGAUUUGAUUAAGAUUUGGUUAGGAUUUGAUUGGGAUUUGGUUAGGAUUUGAUUAGGUUUUGAUUAGAAUUUGAUUAGAAUUUGGUUAAAGUUUGACUAGGGUUUGGUUAGGAUUUGGUUAGGAUUUGAGUAAGGUUUGAUUAGCAUUUGACUAGGAUUUCAUUAAGAUUUGAUUACAUUUUAUUUAGAAUUUGAUUUGGGUUUGGUUAGAAUUUUUUUAGAAUUUGAUUAAAGUUUAGUUAGGAUUUGGUUAGGAUUUGUUUAGAAUUUGAUUAGAAUUUACUUAAGAUUGACUAAGAUUUGAUUAGAAUUUGGUUAAGAUUUUAUUAGGAAUUAGUUAGGAUUUAGUUAGGAUUUGAUUAAGAUUUGAUUAGGAUUUGGUUAAGAUUUUAUUAGGAAUUAGUUAAGAUUUAGUUAGAAAUUGAUUAGGAUUUGAUUAGGAUUUGAUUAGGAUUUGAUUAGGAUUUGGUUAGAAUUUGAUUAGGAUUUGAUUAUAAUUUGAUUAGGAUUUUGUUAAGAUUUGAUUAAUAUUUGUUUAAGAUUUGAUUAGGAUUUGGUUAAGAUUUAUUUAAAAUUUAAUUAGAGAUUGAUUAGGAUUUGGUUAGGAUUUGAUUAGAAUCUUAAUAGGAUUUGAUUAAAAUUUAUUUAAGAUUUGAUUAGGAUUUAAUUAAGAUUUCUAUUUUAAUAUUUUAUUAAGAUUUCUAUUUUAGUAUAUUUUUAAAUUCCUAUGUUAUUUUUUUAUGAUUUCUUAAAAGGUCUUUAG
rnacentral:lncRNA from 1 species